AGCUCGGUAGCGUAACUGGUAACGCGUCUGUUCAUAGUGUUGCACUGAUCUCUUGCUACACGGUAGAAGAAUUCCAGUUCAAGUCUGGGUCGAGCUA